rnacentral:rRNA from 1 species
GACGAACGCUGGCGGCGUGCUUAACACAUGCAAGUCGAACGGAAAGGCCCAGCUUGCUGGGUGCUCGAGUGGCGAACGGGUGAGUAACACGUGGGUGAUCUGCCCCUAACUUCGGGAUAAGCUUGGGAAACUGGGUCUAAUACCGGAUAGGACAAUCGUUUAGUGUCGGUUGUGGAAAGUUUUUUCGGUUAGGGAUGAGCCCGCGGCCUAUCAGCUUGUUGGUGGGGUAAUGGCCUACCAAGGCGUCGACGGGUAGCCGGCCUGAGAGGGUGGACGGCCACAUUGGGACUGAGAUACGGCCCAGACUCCGACGGGAGGCAGAAGUGGGGAAUAUUGCAAAAGGGGCGCAAGCCUGAUGCAGCGACGCCGCGUGGGGGAUGACGGCCUUCGGGUUGUAAACCUCUUUCGACAGGGACGAAGCUUUGGUGACGGUACCUGUAUAAGAAGCACCGGCUAACUACGUG